GGAGUCCAGCAUGUGCGCGAGUCAUUGGGAUUCGUUGCUAAACCUAAAGGCGAAAUGAAAGUGAAGGCGCGCCUCGCGCGCGCCAAGGGAGGAUGGGCGCGAUUCCGUCGACAGCCCCGCACUCCCGGGGCGUCUCGUUCUCAUCGCGAGAUGAGGCGCACCCAGAGCGUACACGCUGGGACCCGAAAGAUGGUGAACUAUGCCUGGUCAGGACGAAGUCAGGGGAAACCCUGAUGGAGGUCCGUAGCGAUUCUGACGUGCAAAUCGAUCGUCUGAACUGGGUAUAGGGGCGAAAGACUAAUCGAACCAUCUAGUAGCUGGUUCCCUCCGAAGUUUCCCUCAGGAUAGCUGGCGCUCGUCGUGAGCGAGUCUCAUCCGGUAAAGCGAAUGAUUAGAGGCAUUGGGGUCGAAACGGCCUCAACCUAUUCUCAAACUUUAAAUGGGUGAGAUCUCCGGCUUGCUUAAUGUGAAGCCGCGAGAUCGGAUCAGAGUGCCAAGUGGGCCACUUUUGGUAAGCAGAACUGGCGCUGUGGGAUGAACCAAACGCCGAGUUAAAGCGCCUAAAUCGACGCUUAUGGGAUACCAUGAAAGGCGUUGGUAACUUAAAACAGCAGGACGGUGGCCAUGGAAGUC
rnacentral:rRNA from 1 species